rnacentral:rRNA from 1 species
AUUGAACGCUGGCGGCAGGCCUAACACAUGCAAGUCGAGCGAGCGGCGGACGGGUGAGUAAUGUCUGGGGAUCUGCCCGAUGGAGGGGGAUAACUACUGGAAACGGUGGCUAAUACCGCAUACUAUCGGAUGAACCCAGAUGGGAUUAGCUAGUAGGUGGGGUAAAGGCUCACCUAGGCGACGAUCUCUAGCUGGUCUGAGAGGAUGAUCAGGCACACUGGGACUGCGGGAGGGACCAGAGGGGAACGUGGGGCAGCGGUGGGGAAUAUGGCGCAACGAGCGGAAGUCUGAGACGGCGGCGCUGGGGGUGGGAAGACGGCUUUCGGGUGGUAAACUCGUUUCACCUUCGACGCGGUAGUUGGAGAAGAAGCACCGGCUAACUACGUGCCAGCAGCCGCGGUAAUUC